rnacentral:SRP_RNA from 1 species
GCUAGGCGCCAUGGCUGACGCUUGUAAUCCAGCUACUCAGAGGAUUGUAAUGCUGGGUGGCUUGUGACCAGCCGAUUUCGAUUGUAUCACUUCACGUAGACCGAGCGUCCACGUCAAGAGCGGCGUCAAUAUGGUCGCUGUUAAGGAGUUGACGGCGACCAGGAUGGUCAAAGAAAGGAGAAAAUGGCUGAGGGCGGAAACGCAGCAGGCAAAAGUCUCCGCGUCGUUACAGUGAUGGGAUAGCGCUUGCGAGUGAAUGGUACGGUUCAGCCCGGCCAAUACAACCAGACCUGUUCCUUU